CUCUGCUGGUGACACAGAAGGCACUGGUUGAACUGAAAAGGGAAAAGGACAUGAAGGUGUUCUCUGAGAGCAGAGAAGAGCAUCUGGCACAGGGGCUCAGGGGCUCUGACCCCUGGGCAAGAACAUCCACAGGAAGCCUUGAUGAAAGUUGGAGCCCAGGAGGAAGAAUAUACCCUGUUGGCAGACACGGGGGCAGAAAGGACGUGCCCGGUGCGGGUCCCCGAGGGGUGUAAAGCGAAUGGUACUCUUGAUGGAGUCGCGCUUCCCGAAUCCAGAGCGGAGAGGACCCCCAUCCCUGAGGCUGAGGUGACGAAGAUGGACUGGCAAGAGCGAGUGAAAGAGCGCUGCUGCAGUGGUUUGGAUUGGAACCGUGGGGAUAUCUAAGGGAGGGGGAAACUGGGAAAGGAGGGGAGAGGGGAAAGGUAGACCUGGGAGGGGUGUAUGGAACCCCAGCUCAGAGGGUGCUCGUGUUUGAUCGGGAUCAACAGGUUAUCGACGGGUGGGUCGGUGUUAUUCCAUGCUUACAAUGUGGAAUAUUGCAACGACCCAGGGGGCAUCUGCCUGGGUAUUGUGUGAGUGUAUAAAGUGUAAAUCUAGAUGGUAUUGUAUUGCCGGACGAAGAAGGGCUGAGUGUAUUGAGUGUUUCCCUGAGAUCCCCCGGUAUUAUAAUUGCGAGAGAGCUCCCCGGGGGGCGAACAUCAUUAAACUGGAGUGUGGUAAACUCAGACUUAUCCCUGAAAUUUGGAACGUCUGGGAAAAGGAUUGGGAACGUAUCACCCAGUAUUGCUGAAAGAAAUCAAAGAGCAGAGGGCAGGACCGGAUUGAAUGGUUGGCUUUGUGUCAGUAAACAAUGCCAACUAAGGACGUGUAAUGCUACCCCUAAAGACCCUCAUGAUGGACUAUGAAGAGGGUAAAGAUAAAACCCUAAGGACUGUUUAAAAUUUAGUGGAUUAUUUAUGUUUAAGUACAGAUGUGGGAUGGGUUCAAUUUAGGUAUAGAAAAAUGGUGGAAAGAAAAGUGGAUUAAAAGUUCCAACCUCAAGCCAAAAGUUAGAUCAAAUAUUAAGGGAAUAAACAGGCUAUUGGCAUUUUUGACUUGGGGGGGAGAUUUAAAAUGUCUUUCUUUGGUGACGCCAGCUUGUCUGCGGUGCGGGGUUCAGCGGAGGGGCAGUUGCUCCCCAGUGGAACCAAAAUGUAGCAGUUUUGGGGAAAUGUAUAAAAGGGGAGGGGAGCCUGGACCAGGUGUGCCUCUGGCUGAUGCGACUCAGCCUCAGCCACGCACCCAGCGCUGCUUCCUUGCUUUGCAAAACUGAAUACCUCAUAAUAAUUUUUUUCAUAAUAAACUUUUGUUUGGUUGGAUAAAAGAUUUUGCAUUGUCCGUUUAUGACAUCAGGAAGCUGCCUUUCGAGAAGAAUGCCCGAGCAGAGAUCCUCAGAUCUCCUGCAUGAGUGCAUGAGAUGAAACCUAAGCACCAUCUGAAAUGGGAUGGUUGUCUCAAGUGCUUUAAAAGUCCUUAUUUUCCUGGUUCUAAUAAGUUUCCCUGCAGUCGUGUCCCUGUUUUUGUCACAGAGAACCUAACCUGUCCAGACAUGAGGUUUCCUAGCUUGUUCCUUUGGCAGGAGUGAAUAAAGCCGGGCUGGCGUGAGGGUAUAAAAUGUCCUUGAGGCCUCUGCUAUGUGCACCCAAAUUGCUUGGGAAGCUUGUGUGUGGGACGUGCGGAUGGCACCCGUGUCUCAUCUGUGGGUCUGCUCGGUCCCACACUCAGCUGAUGGCAUGGACAGCCCCCUGCUUGAUUUGCAGCCAGGUCCCAUCUCAGCUGCUCCUGGCUCCAUGAGGUGGGGGAGCCUCCAGCAGAGCAGUCUCGCCCAGACCAGCCAGCUGCUUGCUGCAGUCCACGAUCCCUGUUUUCCAGGCACCACCAUCCACUGCUGUGAAGGCAGAAGGUACUGCAGAGACUCAGAGCCUGAUGAGGAUCAAGGAAUGGAGGUAUUUUGUGGAGUCAGAGCCCUUCAGCAUGGGAAUAGAGGAGUUCCUCCACAGGAAGGUGUAACAAGUGGAAGAUGACAUGAGGAUGAUUUUGCCUGUGUUUAAGGAAGAGGCCCCUUCUGCCACUGUACACUGUGCUGCAGCCGAGUGAGGGCCCGCGGGUCACAUUCCCCUUCUUUGGCCAUGCAGACAUUGUCACCCACGUCAUGGCACUGUACAGGGUGGAGGGAGGCCCAACCUAUGAGGUUGCGCUGAGCGGGGAGGCUUCGCUUGUCAACUGCCUCGUGGACAUCAGAGAUCGACUAUGGGCUGCAGGUACCACACGCUUCUCUUUGCAGAGGUCUUUGAAACUAUCACCAGCGGGUCUAGGGCUCUCUCCCCUCCCAGCAACUUUGUUGGCUAUAUGGCUUGGAAGUACAAUGUUUGAGUGCUACGUCCUGUAUCCCAGCUGGUUUUUAGUGGCCAUCCCCACCGCCCUCGCCAAGGUGAGUAACACUGACUCUUUGGGCAGGCAGGAUCCCAGCGCCCAUCUCCAGAAGAAUGUGUUCCCAAGACACUGAUCUGCUUCUAAAGCCUGAGGUCCAAAGAGAUGCUUUUUUCCAAUACUUUGCUUAAUCAAUGAUAUAAUCCAGGGAGGAAGUUAACUGGGGCUUCCCAGCUGCUGUAAUUGGAAGGAACAUCCCUGACUAAUUCCCACUUUACUAAUUUUCAGUUAAAAACCCCACCAACGUUUCUGGCUGCUGGCCCCGUAUGUGUUGUGCUGCCUCUCCUUUUGCUGUCACUGCAAGCUCAGCAACUACUUGUAUGUGGCUGCCUUUUCUGUAAUGCCUUAAUGCCAUCUCCUUUGUUUCAGCUGCUAGAGCACACUUUAAAGUGCAGAGAACUUUAUCCUCUUGGGUUUCGUUAUCCCUAAUCUUCAUGGGGUUGGUUUUGCCCCUCUGCGUGCUGCCGUAAAGAUCUGUUCCUGUGUAGGGUGAUGAGGCACCUACAGCUGUGGGUUCCCCAGGUUAACCUGGGAGACCCGAGUACCCCCAUCUCCUCUGCCCCUGCUUCUCUUCUGUGUUGUGUGCAUUUGCUCUCAUCUCAGUGAAAGCAGAAGGAAUUUCCCAGCAUCAGGCCCGUGUCUGUAACUCCCCACUCCUCUGUGCUCUCUUCAGCUGUUUAACAAGGUUACGGAAACAGAGGUCACCCUGCGGAACAGUGGGAAGUUGGGAUUCACCUAUGUGGUGUUAAACCCCAGCGUGGCCACUGCAGACUGCCCACAGCCCCGUGAGCCCAUGGUCCUUUCCCAGCACGGUGAGCGCGGAGGA